rnacentral:piRNA from 1 species
UAAUGUUAUUCCUGUGAGGGAAUCCGAGGC